UAUAGGUGGACCGCAAUGUCAAAAUUGCUGUUCGGCCAUUGCUCGUGAAAAAACAAAUUUGUUUACAAAGCAAAUCAUAUCUUUUGGUGACAAAUGCAUUCGUUGGCAAAAUAGCUGCUCGCGCUUCACUGUAGGCAGAUAUCUACAAUCAGCGGUCGAAUUAAAAACAGUGCAGAAGGAUGUUUUGAGUAUAUUUUACCUUCUAGCCGCGCAAUCAAUGCUUUUCUUUCCAAGCAAGCAGCGUUUUUCGGCAAAAGCAUGAAAUAGAAUCGUACGUGGUACGAAUUUAUCGGCACAAUCUGAUCAAGGACGGAGGCAUCAUCAAACGGAAACUACGCGAAAAACUUUUCGAAGAGAUAAAACUGCGCCGCAACACUCGUGUCUCGCUUAGUAAGCGAUCGAUCGUGAGUUCAAAACACAGGGCCCUCAUUGACCAUCUUUGUGUUGUUACAGAAUAGCUACGUCCACGCAACAAUCAUCAGCGAUGGAGAUUGAUCCACGGUCGAAAUAAGAUCGAUUCAUCCAUACAACUGCUCUGCUCUGCCAGACACAUCGGGCUACUGUUCUAUAAAUAACUCAACAAUGAUCAAUCAACUGUCUCCGCUGUCCGGUGGUCCAACUUGGAUAAUGGAAGAACAGAAAGAAUACCCUUACGCCUAAAUGGCUACUGUGUGAAUGUACCAUAUGUAAUGGUAUAGAAGGAAUACUGGCGAAUGGCAACUGUGUAAUGUGCUAAUUAUAGAUAUGAUAACCAUGUGACAUGCACACGAUUAAAAUUCGGCUCUGUUACAGCUAAAAUGCUAAUGAGCCUUAAAUAAAUAAAUGAGAUAAAAAAAACACUCGUGUCAAAAUGGACGAGUUGGGCUGGGUGCUGAUGAACCACGAUUUGAUAACACGUAAUGAGCCAAUCCAACAGCAUGCCAAUGGUAAUCGACCAAAUCAUUUUGAAUUGAACAUGGAGCGGUUGCGAAACCUACUGGAGCAGCAUGAACAGAACAAUCACGCUGAGUUGACUUCCAAAAAGCAAAACAAAUUCCUGCGUAUGCUGGAUGCAAUUUCAAAAACGACAAAGUUUUGAAGGAAAUUAAAGAGAUGGUAGAGGCGAAUCGACUUCUAUCGGAAAUUCGUUAUGUGACUACGG